rnacentral:rRNA from 1 species
GUCACAGCUCACGAUUCUGCAAACCAUCAACAAGAAGAGGCUCCAUCACAUCUAGCCAGCUAGCCAAAGACGAUGAGGCCGAACGCCCUGACGCUGCCGCUACCUCUCGCCUUCCUCCUCCUCCUCCUCCUCCUCGUGCUAGCACCAGCUAAGGCGAGAGAUGAUUGUACAAGCCAUAUAUAUCAUCGGGUGCAAGAACAAACCCGAGCCGCCUUGUCCGUGCGACCGCGCGGAGUGUAGCUUCGACAGCCGUGUAGCGUUCGCUCAGCUUGGGUGCCCGAAAGAUGCGACCAGAUGCACUUGGACAGGACAGUGCAUCAACCGGGGGUGCAACUUCACCUACUGCGUAUAUAGAUAAGAUAGGUGGGCAUGUCGACCUGAUAAAAUAACAAAGAUGAUAUCAUAGAUGGC